UACAGAGGUCCCAAGCGUUGUUCGGAUUCACUGGGCGUAAAGGGUGCGUAGGCGGUUUGAUAAGUCUGAUGUGAAAUCCCGCAGCUUAACUGCGGAACUGCAUUGGAAACUAUUUGACUAGAGGAAUGGAGGGGAGACUGGAAUACUUGGUGUAGCAGUGAAAUGCGUAGAUAUCAAGUGGAACACCAGUGGCGAAGGCGAGUCUCUGGACAUUUCCUGACGCUGAGGCACGAAAACCAGGGGAGCAAACGGG
rnacentral:rRNA from 1 species